rnacentral:rRNA from 1 species
UGGGGAAUAUUGGACAAUGGGCGCAAGCCUGAUCCAGCCAUACCGCGUGGGUGAAGAAGGCCUUCGGGUUGUAAAGCCCUUUUGUUGGGAAAGAAAUCCAGCUGGCUAAUACCCGGUUGGGAUGACGGUACCCAAAGAAUAAGCACCGGCUAACUUCGUGCCAGCAGCCGCGGUAAUACGAAGGGUGCAAGCGUUACUCGGAAUUACUGGGCGUAAAGCGUGCGUAGGUGGUCGUUUAAGUCCGUUGUGAAAGCCCUGGGCUCAACCUGGGAACUGCAGUGGAUACUGGGCGACUAGAGUGUGGUAGAGGGUAGCGGAAUUCCUGGUGUAGCAGUGAAAUGCGUAGAGAUCAGGAGGAACAUCCAUGGCGAAGGCAGCUACCUGGACCAACACUGACACUGAGGCACGAAAGCGUGGGGAGCAAACAGGAUUAGAUACCCUGGUAGUCCACGCCCUAAACGAUGCGAACUGGAUGUUGGGUGCAAUUUGGCACGCAGUAUCGAAGCUAACGCGUUAAGUUCGCCGCCUGGGGAGUACGGUCGCAAGACUGAAACUCAAAUGAAUUGACGGGGGUCAUAGCUG